rnacentral:rRNA from 1 species
AGUGAACGCUGGCGGUAGGCCUAACACAUGCAAGUCGAACGGCAGCACAGUAAGAGCUUGCUCUUACGGGUGGCGAGUGGCGGACGGGUGAGGAAUACAUCGGAAUCUACUUUUUCGUGGGGGAUAACGUAGGUAAACUUACGCUAAUACCGCAUACGACCUACGGGUGAAAGCAGGGGAUCUUCGGACCUUGCGCGAUUGGAUGAGCCGAUGUCGGAUUAGCUAGUUGGCGGGGUAAAGGCCCACCAAGGCGACGAUCCGUAGCUGGUCUGAGAGGAUGAUAAGCCACACUGGAACUGAGACACGGUCAAGACUCCUACGGGAGGCAGCAGUGGGGAAUAUGGGACAAUGGGCGGAAGCAUGAUCCAGCCAGACCGCGUGGGUGAAGAAGGCCUUCGGGUUGUAAAGCCCUUUUGUUGGGAAAGAAAAGCAGCAGGUUAAUACCCAGCUGUUCUGACGGUACCCAAAGAAUAAGCACCGGCUAACUUCGUG